rnacentral:rRNA from 1 species
AGAACUUUCUAGAGAUAGAUUGGUGUCUGCUUGCAGAAACUUAUAUACAGGUGCUGCACGGCUGUCGUCAGCUCGUGUCGUGAGAUGUUGGGGUUAAGUCCCGCAACGAGCGCAACCCUCGUGUUUAGUUGCUAACAGUUCGGCUGAGAACUCUAAACAGACUGCCUACGCAAGUAGGAGGAAGGUGAGGACGACGUCAAGUCAUCAUGGCCCUUACGUCCAGGGCUACACACGUGCUACAAUGGGAUAUACAAAGAGCGGCAAUACGGUGACGUGGAGCAAAUCUUAUAAAAUAUCUCCCAGUUCGGAUUGUAGUCUGCAACUCGACUACAUGAAGUUGGAAUCGCUAGUAAUCGUAGAUCAGCUAUGCUACGGUGAAUACGUUCCCGGGUCUUGUACUCACCG